GUUGCAACGCGCCUGCGCGGUCGGGGUAGGGCCGGCGGAAGAAUCCGGCUCGCUUCCCGGCUCUCCGGGGGGGCGGCUGGAGGCGGAGGGGCCCGAGCCAGGCUCCGUGCGAGGGGCUCCCUUGGCGAGGAGCGGGGUCAGCAGCCCCCCCCCCCCGAGACCGCGGACGAGAAACUCCAGAGGUUUCCUUGGGGUCCUUUGGCCAGCCCCCCCCGGGGCCAGAGGGGUCUGCUCUGCUGCCCCCCCCGGACCGCUGUGAGGCCCCAGCGGCGGCAGGAUUCUUCCCCGGAGGCGCCCCGAGGAGACGCGGCCAGUUGGGCCGCCCCCGCCUCUCGCCCGCCCCUUGCAGCUGCCCGGGGGGGGGGGGGGCGGGGGGUUCUGCACCCCCCCGGUCCCAAUCUGGCCAACCUCUCCGUAGACCAGCCUCCGCUCCAGCCCCAGGCUCCCGUCUCCAUCCCGGCAGGGCCAGCUUCUGGGGGGAGAAGGCAGCUUGGCAGGUGGGGGGCAGCUCCGGAUUUAGGAUGGUUCCGGCAGUUGCCCCACACAGAGCGCCAAGCAAAGGGGUUGCAAAAUUGAGAAGAUGCAUUUUGGGGGCACCAAGUUUUGGCCUUGCACAGGCCCCCAUAUUUAGGAAAGAUUCUGGUCUGGACUGAGCUCUUCCUUUCUUGGGUAUUUUUGAUAUGGACUCCAAGGAAAGUUGAAAGGCUUGCAAGUUCUCCCCAGAGGUGCAACACGGUACUGAAGAAAAUGUAUUGGUUUACCUGUUUUGUGUCCCUUGUCUUCUAGCGCAGCAAGAAUACUCUCCCUGGAAGCCUGCCAUUAGCUGGCUGGUCCAAAGCAGUAGGUGAGGUUUCAGCUCACCACCUUGGCCCCCUGUCUGCUGGCCGGCAUCGCCCGUCUAGGGUGCUGAGUACUGCAGUUUCAGGAGAAGCCACAACAGGCAAACUUCCUUUCCUGCAUUACUGUUCAUUGUAGUUUUGUUCGAAUUAAAUUACCAUUGCAUGUGGAUACAUUCACUGCUUCUUUAAAAUGGGGGGGGGGACAGCUUGAGGGGGGCCAGUUUAGGUAAAAGCAGCAGUGUGAGGGCUGUUUUAGCCUUUCUCUGCCUGCCACUCUACCCCCAACUGCUGCUGCGUCUGUGUGGUGCUGAAUCCAUGUUUGUGAGGGUGGAGUGUGAAAACAAACUGGAAAUAGCUUGAAAGAAAGAAAUCUUUCAGUGAAGAAGCAGGGUAUGGAGGGGGGGGGGGGCUUUCCCUGCGCAUUCUCUACUUAAACCACCCUCUUCCAACAGUGUGCUUUUGAAAUAAGUAGUAGAUGACAGCUCUUACUUUCAUGCAUCUGCUUGCAUUGUUGAUGAGACAGGCGCUUGCAAAGCCUGUUAUUCUGUGAGGUUUGCUCCCAUUUGCGCUUUCUCCUCCAGCUCCAGCAGUCAUUGUUUCUUCAGAACUCUGUUAUGCAUCCUAGUCCACCCCCCCCCCCCAGGAGAAAUGUAUGUGUCAGCUAAGUGGAAACUUGGAGAUUGCAACUUGAAAUGUUGUCUGUGGUAUGGUGUAAUAUUUCUCACUGGAACCUUCUUCCCGUUUCUCUGCUUUUCCUCAAGUCUCACUUCCCAGCUGUUUUCCCAGGUUCCUCUUUUUUCCUUCUAUUGCCUUGCUGCCUGCUUCCACCGGCCACCUUGCCCUGGUCUCUCCACCCCUUAGUUUUAACUGUCUCCUGUGAUCUCUUUCUAGUCCUCAGCCUUCCCCAUAAAGCUCUGCCUCUUCCUAGGGCCUGUGUGGUGUUUUAAUCUUAGCCAAAAUGACAACAUUCCUUUUUAACCUACAAGUUGAACUGAAAUAUUCUGGCAACUGUGCUCACUCAGCUCUUUGAUAAUAAUCUGUCAGAAGUGCAAUACAAUAUAGUGAGUACCCCCCCCUUAAUUUAAAAAAUAUAUAUAUAGGCAUAGUUUCUAUUCGCAUUUCACUGUCUUUUUUCAGUGCAGCAAUGUGCUUGAGUUGUGUUACCAUUAAAUACUUGGGCAGCCCAGUGUCUGGUGAUGUAGCAACUGCUAAACACAUUAUGGAGCUGUUACCAUUAUUGUGGUGUUAACAUUGUAAUCUUCUCAGGUAUUUAAUUACUUUUCCAAAGGCAUCUAUAAAUUAUCUUUCUAAGCAGUGUGCCAACUGAGACAUUAAAAUGCAGCUUUUCAUUUAGAAAGGUUGCUGAAAAAUAAUUCAGUCUUGUGGUUGGCUUUCUUAUUUUAGUCUAUUACCCCAGCCUGUCUAAAACCAACAUCCGUUUAUUUUUAAUCUGUAUUAGCUACCGGGGGGGGGGUGUUGUGAAUUUUAAAAAACACACUACUUACUCAGGAUAAUAUAUAUUUUGGGUUUAUGAGCACAAUAUUUCAAAGUAAUGUGUAGGUAGUUUUCAGCCGUAGUUGCAGGUGUUAAAGCUCAGUUGCAAAUGGCAUGUGCUAGUUUUCUGUCAUUGUACUAAUGCUUCACACACUACCUUGCUAAUGCACAAAGGUUGAAAAUAAUCCACAUUCCUCUGGCAGAUCAGGGGUUAGUUUGGGUCCCAUAGGCUGCCUGUUCUAUCUGAGGAUACACUCACACCUUUGUAGUACAGCAGCUGUUCUGCCUUUGGGCAGUCGGUUCUUGGAUGUGCAGAUCCAGGAAACCCCGUCCACUGAGAGCAUGCUGCUCUGUUUUCAUAAUGUUAAUUUAAAGCCUUGUUCACGGAUGGUUUAAUAACAAGAUGCCAUAGCAUAAUGACUACUUUUUGCACAGCUGUGCAGUCAAGUUUGGAUUUGUAGCCAGGUAUUUGCUGGCCACAUGACCCGGAAGCUGUACACCGGCACCCUCAGCCAAUAAAGCGAAAUGAGCGCUGCAACCCCAUAGUCGGUCAUGACUGGACCUAAUGGUCAGGGGUCCCUUUACCUUUUAUUUCAGGGAUGCAGGUGGUGCUGUGGGUUAAACCACAGAGCCUAGGACUUGCCGAUCAGAAGUUCAGCGGUUCGAAUCCCCGCGGCCGAGUGAGCUCCCGUUGCUCGGUCCCUGCUCCUGCCAACCUAGCAGUUCGAAAGCACAUCAAAGUGCAAGUAGAUAAAUAGGUACUGCUCCGGCAGGAAGGUAAACGGCGUUUCCGUGCACUGCUCUGGUUCGCCAGAAGCGGCUUAGUCAUGCUGGCCACAUGACCCUGAAGCUGUACGCCAGCUCCCUCGGCCACUAAAGCGAGAUGAGCGCCGCAACCCCAGAGUCGGCCACGACUGGACCCAAUGGUCAGGGGUCCCUUUACCUUUUAUUUCAGUUACAGUGGUACCUCUAGUUACGAACUUAAUUUGUUCCGGAGGCCUGUCCUUAACCUGAAACUGUUCUUAACUAGAGACGUGCUUUCGCUAAUGGGGCCUCUUGUUGCCGCUGCGCCACAGGCACACAAUUUCCGUUCUCAUCCUGGGGCAAAGUUAUCAACUCGAGGUAACUCUUCCAGGUUAGCAGAGUUUGUAACCUGAAGCAUUUGUAACUUGAGGUACCACUGUACAAAGAAUGUGGGCUUUAGAAUCACGUGAUUCUGAAGCAUCUUCCUUGGAAAGAUUUUUUUUUGCUAGACUAAUAAGAUACCCCAGGACCAAAUUUAUGUAAACUUAUUACAGUGUGGGAGACAGGGACAGAUGGGAUGGGAAGAUGGGAAUCUAGUGCAUGAGAUGAAAAACAUGGGCUAUUUCACAUACAUAAUAUCUAAGUGUGUGCUAAAUAAUUAUUUGCAGUGUGAACAACAAAACACAAGAAACAGUAACAAUGAACUAAUCUGCUGGGUAGGCCAUAGAUACAUAUUACUCCACAGUGAACAAAAUGGGCGUGUGUCAUUUGUUUCAACUAUAAUGUGUACAAGUUGUCUAUGAGAAAACAAGAUGAUAAUCUUGCAUCUUUUUACAUCUUUGAAUUCUUCCUUGGCAACAGCAGCACAGAUACCUCCAUAGAAUGUUUCAGAUUUCCUCCCUAUAAUUGCUUUUUAGUGUAAGCAAGAGAUGAGUAGUAACAACAGCAAGAACUACAGGUGGCAGCAAAGUCAUGGCCCUGAGGAAAGUGAUUUGCUAGUAGUAUUUGACUUGGUGCUCAUUUGGCUGAGAAUAUAUUUUUUAUCAAACCAAAUUGGCAACAGUGGCAGAAUAUUGAAAAUCCCAUAUUAAGAUAUUAAGAUAUUAAUCCCAUAUUGAGAUAUGGGCGAAAUAUAAAGGAAAACUGACACCAGUAAAUUACCCACUAAUUCUGGUGGUGAUGAUGAUAAUAAUAAUAAGAAGAAGAAGUUUUUAUUUAUACCCCGCCCUCCCCAGCCAAGGUCGGGCUCAGAGCAGCUUACAAGCAAUAAUAAAAACAAGAUGAAUGAUUACAACUUAAAAACAAAAAUAAAAUAAAAUACAACAUUAAAAUAGAAGACUUCCUAGUAAAUUUAAAUAAGGAAGUUGAAAAAGAAGCAAAAGAGAAGAAAAUAUUCAAAAUAAAGGAAUGGCUGGAAAAAAUGAGAAGCAAAAAAGGAGCUCUAACAUGAAGUAAAAUAACUUGGUUUAACUGUGUACAACUGGAGCAAUGGACAAAGUGGUUAAGGGAAAACAAGAAAUGCAGAGAGCAUACAAUUUUUUAAAAAAUGAUUUUAAAAGGGAGAUGAGGAAAGGGGAAACCAGUAAAAUUUAUAAAAAAUAUUAGUAGAAUCGGAGGAUUAACAAGAUCAACUAAAAGAGGUGUAGAAAAGGAGGUAACAGGUCAGGUAAAUCGUCACAGCUAGGGGAAAAUAUGGGAGAAAUGCAUUCUGAAAAUGAUGUCUGUAAGGUUUAAAGAAAAUUACAAUGAGUUAAUAUGGAGGUGGUAUUUAACACCAGCAAGAUUAAAUCAAAUAAACAAAUAUUCAGUGUUAUGUUGCAGGGGAUGGCAGGAAACUGAGACUUAUGUUCACAUGUGGUGGGGGUAUAAAUACAUACAAAAAUUUUGGCACAGGGUGUUUAAGGAGAUAAGACAAAUCACAGGGUUAAAGCUGAAAGUCCAUUGUUAUCAAUUUUUGACAGGGUAGAAUGUACGUAGGCUAUGAAGGACUUGCUCACAAAUUUAUUAACAGUGGCAUGAGUUGUUAUAGCUACGAAGUGGAAGGGGCAAGAUGGAAGAAUGGUAUAAAGAGGUGGGGGAUAUAGCUAUUAAUGAUAAAUUAAUGUAAGAUGGGGAAUAUGGAGAAAUGAUUUUGAGGAGAUAUUGAACUUAUUUGUAGAAUUUGUACUGUUAAAACAGAAAGGAAUCAAACCAUCUCAAAAAGUGUUAAAAUUUUGGGAGGUUGGAUAGUUACGAUGGGUUGUGGUCUUGGGGGUGGGGUGCACAAUUUUUACUUUUAUUAUUACUUUGUUUAGAAUAUUUUUUUUUAAGUCUACAGAAAAUUUGUCAGUAUUUGCACUGGUAUCCAGGUCUCUUGCAUGUAAUCUGGUGUGAAUGCUGUGGCAGCUUAUUUGCAUCUGUAUUUGUCAACAGCAAUCACAACUGAGCAACUCCAUAUGCUGUUAGAAGCUUAAGCUGUAUCUUCUUCCGUAUGUACCUUUACAGGCAGAGGAGUGAACCUAUUUUCCAUGUGUUGCAAGAUCCCACACUGGAAUGCUGCAUAUGCAAAUGCACAGAAAUGCUUGUGGGCUUCCCAUCUGGUUGGCCAGAGAACAAAAUGGUGGCUUAGAUGGGCCUUUGGUGGGACCCAGCAAGGCCCUUGCUAUGUUUCCAUUGUUGCUAUGAAAAUACUUAUUUAUUUAUAUAAAGUAAGUAUUAAACCAAACCAACUCAAGGAACAGCCAUGCUUUUUAAGAAUGCACAUAGACUUGUGCCCCAAAUGUAAAAGUCCCAACAAAUCUGAUUCUGGGGUUAGCUUAAAAUAUUACUUGAUGGAUUUUACCACAGGUUCUACAGACUUGGGAGUAAUCUUUGCCUUGUGCCACUGAGAAUUAACAAAAGCCUCCUACCAUUGAGCAUUCAUGUCUACUCAGAAGUGGGUUCCACUGACUUCAGUGGGACUUCCAGGUAAGUGUGUUGGUUGCAGCCCUACAGUGCAAUUUUAUGCCCACUCCCUGGACAUGGUGAGACAGAUUUCUGAGUGAACAUGCAUAGGUUCACACUGCACAUUAGUCAUACAGCACAAUCUUAUGUAUGUUUACUUAGAAGUACGGUAAGUCCUACUACUGUAUGUCCGAUAGAACUCUCAUCCCAAUAAACUCUGUUUAGGAUUGCAGCCUACAGCGGAUAAUUUUAUUCUUUGUCAAUCCACCAUUUGUUCUGGCAUCUCUUAUUGUAACCUCAAACCCAUGAACUGAAAACCUAUGGUCCUAUUAGACAUUUACAAGACUGUAGAGGAAACAACCAAGACUGUUUUUUUUUUUACAAGUAUUCUUAUCAAAAUCGGUAUUUUUUUCUGAAAUAAAUGAAGGGUGAUAUGCAAUGAAGUCACACUCAUGAGGACCUAAUGAAACCAACGAGACUACUUCAAGGGUGACUGGUGCUGACCCAAAAGAUGUAACUGUCCCAAAUCCUAGAGAUCAGUAGCCUACCUGUCCG